rnacentral:misc_RNA from 1 species
AAAGUCGUAACAAGGUCUCCGUUGGUGAACCAGCGGAGGGAUCAUUACAGAGCUCCUCUGUGAGACCAUCGUGAACUUUACCGGCCCGUUGCCUCGGCGGGGGAGGGGAGUAGCUAACCCCGCCGCCGCCGUCAGGCCCCUAGACUCGCCCGCAGUGGGUGUCGCUCUUCUGAGUGGUGAGGCCCCGUAGGGGGCGUAGAGGAAAUAGAUCAAAACUUUCAGCAACGGAUCUCUUGGCUCCG